rnacentral:tRNA from 2 species
GGGCCGGUAGCUCAGCAUGGAUAGAGUGUUGGACUUCUAAUCCAAUGGUCGUGGGAUCGAAGCCCUCCUGGCCCG